rnacentral:rRNA from 1 species
CAGCGCCACAAGUGGGGGCCAUGAUUAUUGGGCCUAAAGCAUCCGUAGCCUGCUUUGUUAGUUUUCGGUUAAAUCCAUACGCUCAACGUAUGGGCUGCCGGGAAUACUGCAAAGCUAGGGAGUGGGAGAGGUAGACGGUACUCGGUAGGAAGGGGUAAAAUCCUUUGAUCUAUUGAUGACCACCUGUGGCGAAGGCGGUCUACCAGAACACGUCCGACGGUGAGGGAUGAAAGCUGGGGGAGCAAACCGGAUUAGAUACCCGAGUAGUCC